AACGAACGCUGGCGGCAUGCCUAACACAUGCAAGUCGAACGAGAUCUUCGGGUCUAGUGGCGCACGGGUGCGUAACGCGUGGGAAUCUGCCCUUUGGUUCGGAAUAACAGUUGGAAACGAUUGCUAAUACCGGAUGAUGACGAAAGUCCAAAGAUUUAUCGCCAGAGGAUGAGCCCGCGUAGGAUUGCUAGUUGGUGUGGUAUAGGCGCACCAAGGCGACGAUCCUUAGCUGGUCUGAGAGGAUGAUCAGCCACACUGGGACUGAGACACGGCCCAGACUCCUACGGGAGGCAGCAGUGGGGAAUAUUGGACAAUGGGCGAAAGCCUGAUCCAGCAAUGCCGCGUGAGUGAUGAAGGCCUUAGGGUUGUAAAGCUCUUUUACCCGGGAUGAUAAUGACAGUACCGGGAGAAUAAGCUCCGGCUAACUCCGUGCCAGCCGCCGCCGUAA
rnacentral:rRNA from 1 species